UACGGAGGGAGCUAGCGUUGUUCGGAAUUACUGGGCGUAAAGCGCACGUAGGCGGCUUUGUAAGUUAGAGGUGAAAGCCUGGAGCUCAACUCCAGAAUUGCCUUUAAGACUGCAUCGCUCGAAUCCAGGAGAGGUGAGUGGAAUUCCGAGUGUAGAGGUGAAAUUCGUAGAUAUUCGGAAGAACACCAGUGGCGAAGGCGACUUACUGGACACAUAUUGACGCUGAGGUGCGAAAGCGUGGGGAGCAAACAGG
rnacentral:rRNA from 1 species